rnacentral:rRNA from 1 species
CCCUGUCGGAGGGGAAGAUGCUUGUGCAUGUUAAUAGUAUGCAUAGGUGACGGUACCCUCAAAGGAAGCACCGGCUAACUCUGUGC